CUUUGAGAGAAUGAACAUGGAGUAGCAAAAGGAACUUAAAGUUGGAAAGAAUGGGUGCCAACUCCUAACUCUAUCAUUUAUUAACUAUGUGACUUUUGAGUAGAAGUUAAAGGAGAAGAAAAUGAGAUCUUUCCAAGCCUUCCUGAAAGAAAAUGAGAAAUACGUCAUUGGCUCUGAAAGCACAAAUGUGAUGAAGCUGAGACCAGGCCUUGCAAGGAAGGCUGAUUGACAGGAUGUGAAGCUGAUGCAGGGCCAUUUGUUGGGGUGAUACUGCAGAGCACCAGCUGGGUCUGUAGAUAGAGGCAAGUAAUGACAGUGCUGCCUCUCACCUCUCCCAUCAUCUUGUGCCUUCCUGUGUGCCUAAAGUCAAGAGGACUUUACUUGUGUUUGGGGCCUUCUCUGAUUAACACAAGGCAGUGGCAGGGAUGGGGGCAGCAGAAAAAGAAAGAAGCAUCUUGUGACCCAGGAAGACAGUGGCCUUGGCAUAUUUGUAUAUAAUUUAGAAAAUCAGGAUCUAUGUACCUUGCUUGACUCAUAGUAGGUAUUCAAUAAACUGUUGUACUUUCUUAGAAAAAAAAAGCCAUGAAUAAAUGCAUCUACUCGAUAUCACCCAUCUGACAGGAAAUAA
rnacentral:lncRNA from 10 species